CACUGACAUUAGAUACCCCUGUAGUCCAGGGUGUAAACGCUGCAGACUUGGUGUUGGAGGCCCUUUGGGGCAUUCAGUGCCGGAGAGAAGUUGUUAAGUCUGCUACUUGGGGAGUACGUCCGCAAGGAUGAAACUUAAGGAAUUGGCGGGGAGCACCGCAACGGGAGGAGCGUGCGGUUUAAUUGGAUUCAACACCGUAAAACUCACCAGGGAAGACUGUUACAUGAAGGCCGAGAUGAAGACUCUGCUAGAUUUUCAG
rnacentral:rRNA from 1 species